rnacentral:rRNA from 1 species
AUUGAACGCUGGCGGAAUGCUUUACACAUGCAAGUCGAACGGCAGCACGGACUUCGGUCUGGUGGCGAGUGGCGAACGGGUGAGUAACAUAUCGGAACGUAUCCAAUAAUGGGGGAUAACUAAUCGAAAGGUUGGCUAAUACCGCAUACGCCCUACGGGGGAAAGCUAGGGACCUUCGGGCCUGGCGUUAAUGGAGCGGCCGAUAUCUGAUUAGCUAGUUGGUGGGGUAAAAGCCCACCAAGGCGACGAUCAGUAGCUGGUCUGAGAGGACGACCAGCCACACUGGAACUGAGACACGGUCCAGACUCCUACGGGAGGCAGCAGUGGGGAAUUUUGGACAAUGGGCGCAAGCCUGAUCCAGCCAUUCCGCGUGAGUGAAGAAGGCCUUCGGGUUGUAAAGCUCUUUCGCAAGGGAAGAAAACUUAUCCUCUAACAUAGGAUGAGGUUGACGGUACCUUGAUAAGAAGCACCGGCUAACUACGUGCCAGCCGCCGCCGUAAAAC